UUUGCUGUGCAUGCACAUUAGCACCCACUCACCAUGGGCUGUCAGAAGGGGCGGAGCCAGGACACAGUUUCCGAGGGACAGAGGCACUGGGAAAAGGUGAGUAAAUACCAGGUGGGGGUGUGAGGGAGGGGGGAGACAGCGGUAGCGAUAGUGCCAGGAAUACAGCUUUGAAUUUCUGGAACUUUAGUAUCCCUUUAAUACAAAUGUACAAAAUGAAUUCAGAAAAAGUGUCAAUAGUUACUUCACUAGUCAAACAUCUCUAACCAUGGCAAUGGGCUUUCACACUCUGCUUUACUGACGAGUUUUAAUGUUUUUUAGUGUUUUUUUGUUAGUUUGUUUUUCAGUUUGGUUAUCCCAUCAUUAUUAUGUUAUUGUCUAAAAUCCAUGUAGAAAAAUGCAAUAUUUCUUAAACAGACUCCCCCUCUUUUUUUUUAAAUUCUUAAUUGUUUCUGAUUUUUUAAAUAUGCGUAGGUGUGAGCAAGGUAUACAAUAUAAUCAUCAGUGGUAAAAAAGAGUUUAACAAUAUAUCAAAUACAAGGGUUACAGAAAGCAGUGAGGUCAUAUGUUAUACAGUGUAAAUAUUGUUAGUCGAGGGGUCUGUUGUUUUCUGUUAUAUACAUUGCAAAACACA